rnacentral:lncRNA from 1 species
AAAGAACAGAAAUAAUCAAACCACAGCAUCAAUUCAUUCAUUCAUUCCACCAACAUUUAUUAAGCAGCAAGCUCCGAAGCAGACGUUUACCAGUUUUGCACAACUUUGUCAUGGACCAACUGGCCUUGUGGCUCAGUGGCAUCUGGAGGCAAGAGGGCCAAGUAGACAGGGGUCUCAGCCCCCUCCUCCACAGUCCUGAUGCUGUCUUUCCCAUCCAUGUCUGUCUUCACUGGUCCUGGGCAGCACGCAUUCACCAGAAUCCUGUCAGCUUUCCUCUUCUCAUCCAGACGCCUGGCCAGGAUCCUCGAUAAGACCGUGACCCCCAACUUGGACACCCCAUAAGGAAAACUAGACAAUCCACCAGCCCAGGAGGGGACAAGCAGGCUUAUUCCUCCUCCUCGUCAUCUCUGGCUCCAGCCCCACCCUGGCCCUUGCUGGCAUUCUUCCUCUUCACGUGGCUGGGGUUGGCCACCCCAAUAGGGAAGCAGAGGGAGAAGUCAAUGUGCUUCUGGGAAUCCAGGCGGACAGUGAAGAACAGGAUAUUUACCACCUGCUCACGGACACGGAUAUGACACUGUUGAAUCAGCACAUGAGCGUGGCGGAUGGACUUAGCCAAGCCAAGCUUGAAGACCUGGGUCUGUAGGAAUCUCUAAGAAAUCAUUGAUCUUCAGGCCCAGGAUGUAAUCCAGCUUCAUCUUGCCCUCAUCCAGCACCCCAGUGCGGACCAGCCACUGCAGCAGGGCAAUGCCUUCGAACAGACGCCGUGGGUCCUUCUCAUCAAGCGUCAGCAGCUCCCGGGCGGCCUUAUGGAUCUUGACCAGGGUAAAUUUGACCCUCCAGACCUCACAUUUGUUCUGGAGCCCAUACUCACCAAUCAGCUUUAGCUUUUGGUCGAGAUGAGGUUUCUCGAAGGGUCUCUGCAGGGUCACAUAAGUUUGGC